UAGGAAGUUGGACUUUCUGGGUGAAUGGA
rnacentral:piRNA from 1 species